rnacentral:lncRNA from 1 species
AUAAAAACAACAAAAUUAUCUAAAAUUUAUACCGUAUCAGAUCAAAAAUAACAAAAAAUUUGAAACAACAAAAUCUAAAACCAUCAAAAACUCUUCAAUAGCCAAAUAUUGAAGAUCUAGAUCUGCAAUCCAUGACCAUCGCAAGAGAUCCUUAAACCCUCCUUGACCACCAUAAGCAGUUCAUUUCCGUUAUCUUCCUUACAGGAUCAAAGAAAGGUAGCUCGCUUAUGAAGAGUACGUUCAUCUUCGUCCUGUUCCAUGAGGCAAAGAUCGAUCGAUUUCCGAUUUCAGUUUUAUAUAUAAAAAUCUAUGUUGAAAUCUGUAUUUCAGUCAUUUUUAUGGUAGAUCUGAUGGAUGAAUGAUUUUUAAUGUGCAUAUCAUCAAUGACCGUGAGACAGGCAGAUCUAGAAUUUUCGGAUUCGUUACCUUCAAGGAUGAGAAGUCGAUGAGGGACGCCAUUGAAGGUGGUCGUUGUGAAGGUGAUUACGGAGGAGGCGGUGGCUAUGGAGGAGGUCGCCGUGAAGGUAGAGGUGGAGGUGGAGGUGGCGGGUAUGGA